CCCAGGUCGUAUAAAAAGUUCUGAAACCCUAACUCCUCCCGAAUCCCCUCCAGCGCCGCUCCCACCUUCUACUCUCUCCACGAUCCCCUCCCCUCCCACCUCGCCGAGCCUCGAUCUGGCCGGAUCUUGCCAAUCCACACACGGAUCUGGCCUAACAAUUCCGCAGCUGCGGCGGCGGGCCACCAGGACGGCGGCGGGAACCACCAACCCAUCUUGAGAUCUCAACGGCGGCGGGUACCAAGAACCGAUGUUGCACCAACCGCGCGCGUCACAAGGAGGGCGAGUGUGGUUGCUGCCGGAGUAGUGAACGCUGCGCUUGGCGCUGGACCAGCGGGGGAUGGGUGGGCCGUGAGGCUUCAUUGGGUCGUUUCCAACUGCCCCGGCAUCGGCGGCGAUGAGUUGGUGCGCCAGCAGACAUGACCGUCCGCGCGCAAGGACCCCAUGAAUCCCGUGUACGCGGCCAAGGUGACCACGCCACUCGCAGCUCCAUCUGGGCUAUCCUCACUGUCAUCGUCGCUUUCGGCCGGUCUCUUUCUUUUCUUUUUGAACACUAUCGAUUGAUGAAGUUGUUUGCCCAAAUUGAUGUCUGAAUGUGCCAAAUCUGCUGCUCUAUAGGUGCCAGCAUCGAUGACAUAAUUUAUCAAUAGUGGGUUCAGUAGUAACUCAAAUCUGUUUCUCUGAAUGUGCCAGCGUGUGAUGGAAUUUAUCAUUGGUGAGUUUGGUAGUAACUCUAAUCUGCUGCUAUGUUGUUUUCAGCCUGGAUAUUCUGCAAUCCAGAAGAACUGGCUACUCAGAAGUGGAUGACAGUGAACAGGAGAAGCUAUGGUUUCUUGAUUUGUUGUUAUGUGUAUGUGUUGUCAUGAAGCAUAGUGGUUCUGGCUUUGUGUAAAAUCAUUAUAAGUAUAGUACCUCUUUAGAGGAGUUUAACGCUGAACUAUGUAUGUGAUUCAUGUACCUGAAGUAUCCACUAUGAUGCCUAUUGCUGAAAACAAUAUAACUAUUUAUUGAUAA